UAGGGUGCGAGCGUUGUCCGGAUUUACUGGGCGUAAAGAGCUCGUAGGUGGCUUGUCGCGUCGUCUGUGAAAGUCUGGGGCUUAACUCCGGGUGUGCAGGCGAUACGGGCUGGCUUGAGUGCUGUAGGGGAGACUGGAAUUCCUGGUGUAGCGGUGGAAUGCGCAGAUAUCAGGAGGAACACCGAUGGCGAAGGCAGGUCUCUGGGCAKUCACUGACGCUGAGGAGCGAGAGCAUGGGUAGCGAACAGGAUUAGAUACCCUGGUAGUCCAUGCUGUAAACGGUGGGCGCUAGGUGUGGGGACUUUCCAUGGUUUCCGUGUCGUAGCUAACGCGUUAAGCGCCCCGCCUGGGGAGUACGGCCGCAAGCUAAAACUCAAAGGAAUUGACGGGGGCCCGCACAAGCGGCGAGCAUGUGAUUAAUUCGAUGCAACGCGAAGAACCUUACCCGGGUUUGAUAUGCACUAGAUGAGGCGAGAGAUCGUCUGUCCCUUUGUGGCUGGUGUGCAGGUGGUGCAUGGUUGUCGUCAGCUCGUGUCAUGAGAUGUUGGGUUAAGUCCCGCAACGARCGUAACCCUUGUCUUAUGUUGGGAGCACGUUGUGGUGGGACUCGUGAGAGACUGCCGGGGUGAACUCGGAGGAAGGUGGGGAUGACGUCAAAUCAUCAUGCCCCUUAUGUCCAGGGCUUCACACAUGCUACAAUGGCCGGUACAGUAGGUUGCGAGACCGUGAGGUGGAGCUAAUCCUUUAAAGCUGGUCGUAGUUCGGAUUGGGGUCUGCAACUCGACCCCAUGAAGUCGGAGUCGCUAGUAAUCGCAGAUCAGCAACGCUGCGGUGAAUACGUUCCCGGGCCUUGCACACACCGCCCGUC
rnacentral:rRNA from 1 species